rnacentral:lncRNA from 1 species
AGGGGGACGUGAGGAUGGGACAGGGAUUAGAGGGAGGUGAGGAUGGGUGAGGGAUUGGGGAGUUGAACAGUAUGUUUAUGGGGAGGAGGUAGGCAUGAUGAGAGGAGAAGAACAUUGUACCACGCAGAAGAAGGCCCAUGGCUCACAGAGCUGCUGGAGGAACACGUUGUGUAAUGAUGUGUGUAAUACUGUAGGUGUGUAAUACUGUGUAAUACUGUAGGUGUGUAAUACUGUGUAAUACAGGUGUUCCCUCUGAGGCCCAGGUGAAGAGGCUUGACUAGGCCUCAAUAAGGUCAAGACUUGGAUUAUGUCCUGAAGGGAAAUGCAGUUUAGCAGCCCUCGUCAUUAUGAAUGUGGUGGCCGUUAGUUUAUUAGAUCAUGAGAAGAAUGCCUGUUUGUUCAUGCAUCCUAUGGAACGCAACAAUGCUUCAGAUUCAUCCGGACCAUGAAAUCUACUAAACAACACCCCAGCAUUUUAUACCAGGCUAUGGUUUCUAUUCAUAGACACAUCUUGUCUGGUGAUAUUUUAGUGGGUGUGAAACGUUGUAUGCCUGUAUUUUUCAAGCUGAUACAGUAACUCCAGCCCUGCUACACCGUCCCUAUGGUUCUCCUGCCCCUCCUGUCGGACAGAAGGUUACACU